rnacentral:rRNA from 1 species
UACGAAGGGUGCAAGCGUUAUUCGGAAUUACUGGGCGUAAAGCGUGCGUAGGCGGUUUCUUAAGUCCGUUGUGAAAGCCCUGGGCUCAACCUGGGAACUGCGAUGGAUACUGAGGAGCUGGAGUACGGUAGAGGAAGGUGGAAUUCCCGGUGUAGCGGUGAAAUGCGUAGAGAUCGGGAGGAACAUCAGGGGCGAAGGCGGCCUUCUGGACCAGUACUGACGCUGAGGCACGAAAGCGUGGGGAGCAAACAGG